UGUUUAAACACUGUGUAGCAUGUAGAAGUAGUCAAUUCUGCAUUGGAUUUGGUGGGACCCACUCUCUCAAACUAGUCAUCUCAUGGGGUUACAGUUUGAUGUUGUUUAUGGGGUGUUCAUGUGAAGGAAAAUGUCAGAAAAUUAAAGGGUAUGUACUUUCUCAGCCACUAAAUAUAUGAAAACUUAGUGUCCCUCCUGUAGGCUCAUGGACCAUUUUCACAGCGGAACAGUUCUAGGAAAUGUCUUCUCAUUGCAGCUCUGCAGCCACCUUAUGUGUCAGCAAAAUUUCAUUUAUUUAUUUUACAGUACUUCUAAAAAGAAAGAUGGACUAACAACUGUCUUCCAACACUUCAUAUUUAUCAGCCCACAAAGUACCUCGAACCAAGCACAUGAAGGGAUUACUUUUCUUGAGAACUGGAUAAGAGGAACACCUCUGCAAAAACACAAGUGAGUUUUUAAUCUCUCCUUCUGUCAAUCAGACUGUUAAUUGAAAGUGACCAAUUUCAUGAAUUGUAGAAAGUACAUUUUCAUUCCAAGGAUGUGAGAUCUGAAUUUCCCACAUUUAUUUCUUGUUUGUAUCACACACAAAGGAAUCUUUCAUGUCUGUUAAUUAAGAGACACCUUCACUUAAUGAUCCAUCAUACAACUUGACAUUAUUGAUCAAUGUGUUUAAAGUGAUGUGUUUAAAGUGAACAACUAAUUUAAAGGUAGCAACAUUGUCUUCAUUUGUAGACUUCUGGGUUUAGGAAUAUGUUCAUUCCCUGUUAAUAUAAAUACAUCUGAAGUUUCCUUCAUUAUUUUUUUCCUCACUUUUGACAGGCAGCUAGGAAUGUAGAUUGUUUUUCCCCCCUGAGUAUGUAAGACUAGCAAAGAAUGGAUGAUGGGAUGGAAAGACAUGGUUGAGAGACUUAAUUUUUAAAAAUUCCUGUACAAAAUUGACCUGCACCUCUUGGACCGAUGUGCCAACUGGAUCUUAGAAUUCCAAUUUCACACUGUCACAAAUGUUGCAGCAGAAAUCUCAGCAGUUUAGACAUGUAAAAGGGAAUGGUCCAUUAGGUCUAGACUUAUGAUUGAUGGAGUUCUACUAAUUCUGGAGGAAAAGAGAAAGACAGUGAUUCUCAGAGAUGGCGCUUUUUUGGCACAAACUGUUAGAGUUUUUUCAGAGCAUUUAUGAUGCAAAGUGACAGGAAGAGCUGAUUAUACGAUGGCAAUUUCUGUGUGUUUUUCAUUUAAGUUAUUAUAAUCAACGUGAGCCAUCUUAGGUUAUUAGAAACCAAGAUCAAGAUCAUCCACACUAUGUAAAGGAAAACAAGCAAAAAUAAACAAUCGGAGCCUAUCCUACCUUUCA
rnacentral:lncRNA from 1 species